GUGGGGAAUAUUGCACAAUGGGGGAAACCCUGAUGCAGCGACGCCGCGUGGAGGAAGAAGGUCUUCGGAUUGUAAACUCCUGUUGUUGAGGAAGAUAAUGACGGUACUCAACAAGGAAGUGACGGCUAACUACGUGCCAGCAGCCGCGGUAAAACGUAGGUCACAAGCGUUGUCCGGAAUUACUGGGUGUAAAGGGAGCGCAGGCGGGAAGACAAGUUGGAAGUGAAAUCCAUGGGCUCAACCCAUGAACUGCUUUCAAAACUGUUUUUCUUGAGUAGUGCAGAGGUAGGCGGAAUUCCCGGUGUAGCGGUGGAAUGCGUAGAUAUCGGGAGGAACACCAGUGGCGAAGGCGGCCUACUGGGCACCAACUGACGCUGAGGCUCGAAAGUGUGGGUAGCAAACAGGAUUAGAAACCCCGGUAGUCC
rnacentral:rRNA from 1 species